GACGUCGAAUAUCGACGUCAUAUAUACCAAAGUAGAUCGUGUUUAUGACGUCGAAUAUCGACGUCAUGAACACCAAAGUUGAUCGUGUUUAUGACGUCGAAUAUCGACGUCAUAAACACCUAAGUUGAUCGUGUAUAUCAAGUCGAAUAUCGACGUAAUAAACACAAAAGUUUAUCGUGUUUAUGACGUCGAAUAUCGUCGUC
rnacentral:miRNA from 1 species